rnacentral:misc_RNA from 1 species
UAAAAGUUGUACACAUAAACAGCUAGAUUACAGGUCGAAGGAAACUGGAAAGGUGUUAGCAACAAAUAAUACUCAAACCUAUCUUUCACACGUUAAAAUUUCAAAAGAAUCACCAAUAAACAAAGAUAUUACAAAGUGCCCUCCAACUUCAGCUUUCCAUUUCCUUGAGCUCAUUUUUAUGAACCACAACAAGCUGAUUUCUGGGAAGUUUGACUACCUCCAGCUCCUGCUUCUGGUUGAUUAAUCUUGAGCGUUGACGGCUCGGCCUUGGAGUCUGUGUCUGCAAGCCUUUGUUUUAUAUCUCUUGCUAUUGAGAAGAAAACUUGUUCCACGUUAAGAUUUGUUUUUGCACUAGUUUCAAAAAACUUAAUUCCGUAUUCAUCUGCAAGUGCUUGACCCUUUGCUGUAGGGACAGCCCUCUUGCUUUCAUCCAUGUCGGCCUUGUUCCCUACAAGUAUUUUGUUAACAUUGUCCGAGGCAUGCUGCUCAAUGUUACGAAUCCAGUUCCUGAUGUUGUUAAAGGAGGAUUCAUCAGUUACAUCAUACACCAACAGUAUACCCAUGGCUCCACGAUAGUAAGCAGUAGUGAUGGUCCG